CUACUUUGGCCUUACAUUUUAAAUACAGUUUGAAUCUACUUCAAUUUCCUGACAAUUUUCACUUCAGUAAGUAAUCCUGUUCACUAAACAGUACACUUAGACAAACUAAUUGCAAAAUGUAGCUUUAUUGACCUAUAUUUUAAAAUUCAGCUGCCAAUUCACCACAAGUCGCACAUGUGUAAAAGAUUGAAAUGCCCUAAACAUAAAGUAACAGGUAGGUACAUAAUAUACUGAUACUGCAAUUGCCCGAAGCAAUGCUUUGAUGGAGGACUUCAGAUAGCCAGGAUGUAUAUUUUCAAGUCUUCGGACUAAAAAUUAAACAAGCAAAAAGGAAAUCACUGAGGGGGGAUAUUAAAGUGACAUUUACAUUUUCUAGGAAGCAGUUCUUUAUGCAUGGAAUACAAAGCACAGACCUUUGUAACCGUGCGGUUUAUUUUGUGUCUAAUGUUGAGGAUGCAGCCAGCGCCUCGUCACUGUCAGCAUUUUUUUAAAAUUUCUCUCCAAUGUUUGUUCUUCUAGAACACAAUUCACCGUGACCUUUGUGGACAAAAUUGUCUGCUUUAGGGACUGCAGUGCAGUGGCUGCACAAGAUACUGGGAAGCCAGGUAGGGAAAUUUUAGCCAGGACUGCAACAUUAACAAAGCAUGAUCAGUUUAAAUAUGUAAUGUGUGAAAGUUCUAUUGGGCCCCAGGAUCAGUUUGCAUUAUUAGCUCCUCAUUUUAUUAAUAAGCAUGACAUUAAAAAAGAUAUAUUUUAAUUUGAGGCCUGACAUUAUACAGUAAAAUGAGAAUAGAAUAGAUACACUACUGCAGUUCUCGAAUUAGAAAGACAAAAUGGGAAAAUAUGGUACUACUCAACUGGAACGACAGGCCCCCACUAAAAGCCAGAAUAUAGAUAAAAGAGAUAUAUUAGGUAAAAUCUAAUAGGAUGCCAGGAGUAGUUUGAAACUGGAUUCAGGCAAAAAAAAGUUAUUAAAAAUGAAUAAUUAAAUAGUAAAAAUUGUGGACAAGUGAAGUUUAAAAAAAUUAAAAUGAAUUAUAAAAUUGUUGACAUAUAAUAGAAAGGUCUGUGUAUCUAGAACUAAUGUGUGAUAAAAGUCCCAGUCUUUUGAAAAAGUAUCACUGCAUGUAUAAUUAGCAAUAAUACUGUAAUACAAUGUUUCAAUGUGUCUGCACAGUUGGGGUUGCUCUGUGGAUGGGCUGGAUUAGUUUAGUACUACUGGUGUGAGCUCGAACAGAUAGAUGAACUGAUCCAAAUAUGAACAUAUGUACAAUAAUCCUUAACAUAGAUUAAGUGAAGAUCAUAUAGAUUGAUCUCAAAUAACAGAAUCCUCGCGCCGUAUUAACUCCUUGGUAGGAUAGCCUCAUUUUUUAGAGAUGGGCGGACACCUGGAUGUUCACGUUCGCCAGGUUCGGCUGAACAUCUGCAAAAAGUUUGAGUUCGGUCUCGAACUUGACCCCAAACCCCAUUGAAGUCAAUGGGGACCCAAACUUUUGGGCACUAAAAUGCCUCUAAAAAAGUUCUGGAAAGGGCUAGAGGGCUGCAAAAGGAAGUAAAAUGGGGGUAAGAGUAGGACAAGUGCCCUGCAAACAAAUGUGGAUAGGGAAAUAACUUAAAAUAACAUAAAAUACAUCCAAAUUAAAAAUAAUAAUCUUGAACUAGGAGGAGGAGGUGGAUGUGGAGGUUGAGGAGGCAGUAACCGUGGCGGUGUAGGUGGAAGCGGCGGUGGAGGAGGAGGAGGAGGUAGCCAACACUGUUUUUCAUUUAUUAUUUUUAAUUGGGGUAGCCCCCAAAAUAUUGGGACAUAUAAAAAAAGAAAACAAAGAAUAAAUGCACUUGAGUAUAACAAUGGCUGAGUGAGGAAGGUAUAAAUGUCUAUUCUGCACAAGGUACAGACAAGUCUGGUGGGAUCCAUGCCACGUUGACUGUGGACAGGCGGCUGAGCUUGUCUGUGAUAACGCCCCCUGCCGUGCUAAACACACGUUCAGACAAUACACUGGCUGCAGGGCAGGCCAGCACCUCCAAGGCAUAAAGGGCAAGCUCAGGCCAUGUGCCCAACGUACUGUUCCACCAUGUUGCUGAAAUGCUGCCUCCUGCUAACACGUUCCAUAUCAGCUGGUGGUGCUGGUUGUUGUGGCAUGCUGACAAAGCUUUUCCACAUUUCGGCCAUGCUAACUCUGCCUUCUGAGGUGCUGGCGGUGCCCCAGCUGCGUUGGCGACCUCUUCCUCCUCCUCUGCCUUCGCCUUGUGCUUUCACUGAGCCCACGGUGUCAGUUGGGAAUGCCGUCAGCAGCGCGUCUACCAGCGUGUGCUGGUAGCCGCGCAUCUUCCGAUCACGCUCCAGUAAGGGAAUUAAGGACGGCACGUUGUCCUUGUAACGGGGAUCCAGCAGGAUGGCCAUCCAGUAAUCAGCACAAGUUAGAAUGUGGGCAACUCGGCAGUCGUUGCGCAGGCACUGCAGCAUGUAGUCGCUCAUGUGUGCCAGGCUGCCCAGAGGCAAGGACAAGCUGUCCUCUGUGGGAGGUGUAGCAUCUGUGUCCUCCGUAUCCCCUCAGCCACGCUCCAGUGAUGCCCACAAGCUGCGUUGCUGUGAACACGGUUCCUCCUCCUCAUCCUCCAGAACUGUGCCCUGGCUGGACAAUUGUGUACCUGGCCUAUGCUGGUGCAGGAACCCAUCCUCUGAGCCACUUGUGAAUGACUGGUCUGAUAACCAUGGAAAUGACCCCUCUUCCUCCUCCUCUUCCUACUGUGCCACAUCCUCUUCCAUCAUCGCCCGAAGCGUUUUUUCAAGGAGACAUAGAAGCGGGAUAGUAUGGCUGAUAACGGCGUCAGCAGCACUGGCCAUGUUGGUGGAGUACUCGAAAGAGUGCAACAUGGUACAAAGGUCUCGCAUGGAGGCCCACUCAUUGGUGGUGAAGUGGUGCUGUUCCGCAGAGCGACUGACCCGUGCGUGCUGCAGCUGAAACUCCACUAUCGCCUGCUGCUGCUCACACAGUCUCUCCCGCAUGUGCAAGGUGGAGUUCCACCUUGUGGGCACGUUGCAUAUGAGGCGGUGAGCAGGAAGGCCGAAGUUACGUUGCAGCACAGACAGGUGAGCAGCAGCAGGGUGAGAACGCCGAAAGCGCACAGUUGGCCCGCACUUUCUGCAUCAGCUCUGAUAUAUCUGGGUAGUUUUUCAGGAAUUUCUGCACCACCAAAUUCAGCACAUGCGCCAGGCAAGGGAUGUGCGUCAAACCGGAUAGGCCCAGAGCUGCUACGAGAUUUCGCCCACUAUCGCACACCACCAGGCCGGGCAUGAGGUGCAGUGGCAACAACCACGCAGGAGGAGCCUGAGAACUUUCUUGGUUUUUGAGGUGCUUACUCCACUGCAGCUCGUGCUUUGCAUGUAGAUGCCUGGUCAUGCAGGUCUGCUCAGGUUUAGAAUGUUUAUGCCUCGCUUCAGGCUCUGAUUGCACAGCGUGCAAACCACUCGUGUCUUGUCGUCAGCACAUUGUCUGAAGAACUGCCACGCCAGGGAACUCCUUGGAGUUGGCUUUGGUGUGCUCGGUCCCUCGGUGCGGUGGGCAGUGGCAGGCGUACUGUCUAGGGGACGGCUGCUCCGCUUUUGCACCUUGCUCCCUCUUAUGCUGUGCUGGUGCCUCUGUGUGACCAUGGCCUCUUCCUCCAAACUGGACACAUCACUCGCAUGACCUUGAUUCCAUGUGGGGUCUAGGACCGCAUCAUCCUCCACAUCAUCUUCCACCCACUCCUCAACCCUGCCCUCCUUGCCAGUCUGCACACUGCAGAAAGCCACAGCAGUUGGCACCUGUGUUUCGUCAUCAUCAGAGACAUGCUGCGGUGGUCCUUGCAUGUCCACAUCCUGACACAUAAGUGGUUGUGCAUCAGUGCACUCAAUCUCUUUCACUUCUGGAGCAGUGCUAGGUGGAUGGCCCACGGAAACCCCACCAGCACAGUCACCAAAAAGCAUAAGAGACUGCUGCAUGACUUGUGGCUCAGACUGCUUGGCUGAUUUGCAAGGGGCUGAGGUGAAAGACAGAUGGCCAUGGGCUGCAGGUGCCAACUCUGAGCUUUCAGCAGGGGACCGGGUGGGAGACAAUGUGAAGGAACUGGAGGGACUGUCAGCCACCCAAUCUACUAUCACCUGUACUUGUUCUGGCCUCACCAUUUGGAGAGCUGCAUUCGGGCCUACCAAAUAACGCUGAAGGUUCUGUCGCCUACUCGAACCUGAGGAAGGUGUUUCACUUGUGCGUGUAGCUGGCACAGGUCGACCAAGUCCUCUCCCUGGAGCUUCAACAACACCAGCAGCACUAGGACCAGGGCCACGUCCCUUAUUUGACGCUCUCCUUAUUCUUUGCAUUCACCCACCAAACUAACAGAUGGUUUAAAUUUGAAUUUUUCAAAGUACAAUGUAACCACAGUAUUUGACGGUUCUAUUUGACUCUCAGAUAUGAAGUGCACGCCCCAAAUUUACUUUUUAGCACCAAAAAAAUGUGAAUUUUUCAAAGUGCGAUGUAACCACAGUAUUUGAUGGUUCUAUUUGACUCUCAGAUAUGAAGUGC